AAAGCGGAGGAAANGNAACUANCAAGGAUUCCCCUAGUAACGGCGAGUGAAGCGGGAAGAGCUCAAAUUUGAAAUCUGGUAGCCUUCGGUUGCCCGAGUUGUAAUCUAGAGAAAUGUUUUCCGUGCCGGCCCAUGUACAAGUCCCUUGGAACAGGGCGUCAUAGAGGGUGAGAAUCCCGUCCUUGACAUGGACCCCCGGUGCUUUGUGAUACAUUUUCAACGAGUCGAGUUGUUUGGGAAUGCAGCUCAAAAUGGGUGGUGAAUUCCAUCUAAAGCUAAAUAUUGGCGAGAGACCGAUAGCGAACAAGUACCGUGAGGGAAAGAUGAAAAGCACUUUGGAAAGAGAGUUAAACAGUACGUGAAAUUGUUGAAAGGGAAACGAUUGAAGUCAGUCAUGCUCUUUGGUAUUUAUAUCAUUGAGUGGGGUCAACAUCAGUUUUGAUCGAUGGAUAAAGGCACUAGGAAUGUAGCACUCUCGGGUGAACUUAUAGCCUAGCGUCAUAUACAUUGAUUGGGACUGAGGAACGCAGCAUGCCUUUAUGGCCGGGAUUCGUCCACGUACAUGCUUAGGAUGUUGACAUAAUGGCUUUAAACGACCCGUCUUGAA
rnacentral:rRNA from 1 species